UCUCCUGAUUCCCAUAUGUGGAAGACUCAGAUCAAGGCUGUCUCUUCAGGGAACCCACUAAAAACCUACCCAGGACUAAUUUAGCUCUCCAAUGGACCACGUAUUUCUUCCUUUUUUAACACCAAGACAGAAGGGCAUCUUCCUUCUUUCCACCUCUGAUCUCUUCAUCCUCCUUUUCUCCCUCAAAAAUGGCUGUUCACUCUGAAUUAAAGGCCAAUUAGUAAGCCCUAGAGGUACUGAAGGAAUAUCUAAGAAGCAAGUGCUGUCACAACAACACUUAUGACCUCACAGAAGGAGCUAGAGCUCUCAAGGUUACAAGAGAUUUUUCAGGGAGGGACUAAUGAUGGUGUCACUGAGAACCUCCAUAUCCUACCUGCUGAACAGCUUUGCUUUCAUUGACCAAUUUUGAGAGUGCCUUUUCCAGGUUGAUGUUGCGUGCUGGCUUGCUGUCCAUUGCUUCUAUUAUGUUUCUGCAUAGGACUGACAGGAGGGUAGCAUUAUUUUCCUCUGGAAGGCACAAUGGAGCAGCCGACUGAAACAGCUGCAUAGAUGCACGGCCAAACAUUGGAUGGAGCUCAGUGAGUUCCACUGGAGAGCUGAGGGAAGGGCUGGAGAAGCAGAGGAGCUUAACGGGCUUCACGAUAUUCCAUGACAAAACCAAAUUUACACAGUAUCGUUCCACAUAUCCAGUCCUACAAAGGAUAAUAAAUGGCAAAGUCCAACACAUUGUGGCAAAGUAAAACCAUAGAUAAAGAAAGAAAUUAAACUUUUCUCAACAAAACAGAGAAGAGAAGCACACAAACAUAAACUAACUUCAAAUUAUGAAAAAACAGAAAGCAACCAUCACUAUUCCUAAAUAUCUCUAAACAUCAAAGAACACAAUUGCCCCCUAAAAAGACAUAAAUUAGCAAACUGGAUAUGGAAUGAGGACCCAGC